rnacentral:tRNA from 1 species
GUUUCUACGGUGUAAAUCUAGCACAUUAGGUUUUCAUCCUAAAGGUAUAAAAAUCAAUUUAUUAGAAAUG